rnacentral:rRNA from 1 species
UACGUAGGGUGCGAGCGUUGUCCGGAAUUACUUGGCGUAAAGCGCACGUAGGCGGCUUGGUAUGUCGGGUGUGAAAUCCCCGGGCUCAACCUGGGAACUGCAUUUGUGACUGCACAGCUGGAGUGCGGCAGAGGGGGAUGGAAUUCCGCGUGUAGCAGUGAAAUGCGUAGAUAUGCGGAGGAACACCGAUGGCGAAGGCAAUCCCCUGGGCCUGCACUGACGCUCAUGCACGAAAGCGUGGGGAGCAAACAGG